UACGAAGGGUGCAAACGUUGCUCGGAAUUAUUGGGCGUAAAGCGCACGUAGGCGGCUUAGCAAGUUGGAUGUGAAAUCCCUCGGCUCAACCAAGGAAGUGCAUCCAAAACUGCUGAGCUUGAAUACUUAAGAGGAUCGCGGAAUUCCCGGUGUAGAGGUGAAAUUCGUAGAUAUUCGGAAGAACACCAGUGGCGAAGGCGACUUACUGGAUCAUGACUGACGCUGAGGCUCGAAAGCGUGGGGAGCAAACAGG
rnacentral:rRNA from 1 species